AGAUUGUGCCACUUGUUCAACUCCACGCAGUGCUCCUCUUGCUCUCCGGCAAUCUUCCAGAGUUGAGAAAAGGCAGGAGCUCAAGCCUUGACUGCAGAGGUGAACGACGCUGAGCCAGCCCCUGGCCAGGACUCUGGACUCUCUUUCUGCUGGUCCUGCUCCAGGCUCUGAAGUUUACAGAGGCAAGUGGUGCGGAUCAUGGUCU